rnacentral:rRNA from 1 species
UACGGAGGGAGCUAGCGUUGUUCGGAAUUACUGGGCGUAAAGCGCACGUAGGCGGCUUUUUAAGUCAGAGGUGAAAUCCCCGGGGCUCAACCCCGGAACUGCCUUUGAAACUGGGAAGCUAGAAUCUUGGAGAGGCGAGUGGAAUUCCGAGUGUAGAGGUGAAAUUCGUAGAUAUUCGGAAGAACACCAGUGGCGAAGGCGACUCGCUGGACAAGUAUUGACGCUGAGGUGCGAAAGCGUGGGGAGCAAACAGGAUUAGAUACCCCGGUAGU